UACGGAGGAUCCGAGCGUUAUCCGGAUUUAUUGGGUUUAAAGGGUGCGCAGGCGGGAAAUUAAGUCGGCGGUGAAAUUUUGCGGCUCAACCGUAAAAGUGCCUUCGAUACUGGUUUUCUUGAGUGUAGAUGAAGUAGGCGGAAUUUGUGGUGUAGCGGUGAAAUGCAUAGAUAUCACGAGGAACUCCGAUUGCGCAGGCAGCUUACUAAACUAUAACUGACGCUCAGGCACGAAGGCGUGGGGAUCAAACAGGAUUAGAUACCCCGGUAGUCCCUGA
rnacentral:rRNA from 1 species